GAUGGCUGACCAGGAUUCCAGAACAAGCCGUCCCGGGGAUUGUCAGGCGGACCCUUCAGAAAGCGUGAAGUUGAGGCUGGUGAACGGGGGCAGUCCAUGCGCCGGGAGAGUGGAGGUUCACUACAAGGGGAACUGGGGGACUGUGUAUGGUAGCGGCUGGGACCUGCAGGACGCGGUGGUGGUGUGUCGGGAGCUGGGCUGCGGCGCCGCAGUGAAAGCACCGCGCGCAGCUCACUUUGGACCGGGGUCCGGACCCGUUGUGACGUCAUAUGUUGAGUGCAGCGGGAGCGAGGCCGCUCUGCGGGAGUGUAAAUCAGGGCCAUGGGAGGACAUUGGCUAUCCACACUCCAACGAU